GAUGAACGCUGGCGGUGUGCCUAACACAUGCAAGUCGAACGACAACACGAUGAGAUCGUUCUCUUACCGUUGGCGGGUGACGGGCGGGUGAGGAGUGGAUCAGAAUCUUCUUUGUCUGGGAUAAUAACGGAAGGAAGGUGACGCUAAUGCCUCAUACAACGUACCGUUUGGAGCAAUGGAGAUUCACGGCUUGCGCGUUUGAAUUAGCCGAUGUCGGAUUAGCUAGUUGGGUGGGUAAAGGCCCACCAAGGCGACGAUACGUAGCUGGUCUGAGAGGAUGAUCAGCCACACUGGAACUGAGACACGGUCCAGACUCCUACGGGAGGCAGCAGUGGGGAAUAUUGGACAAUGGGCGCAAGCCUGAUACAGCAAUACCGCGUGGGUGAAGAAGGCCUUCGGGUCGUAAAGCCCUUUUGUUGGGAAAGAACAGCAGCAGGUUAAUACACCGCCGUUUUGACGGUACCCAAAGAAUAAGCAACGGCUAACUUCGUG
rnacentral:rRNA from 1 species